CAGCCGCCGCGGGAAUACGUAGGGUGCGAGCGUUAAUCGGAUUUACUGGGCGUAAAGCGUGCGUAGGCGGCUUCUUAAGUCGGAUGUGAAAUCCCUGAGCUUAACUUAGGAAUUGCAUUCGAUACUGGGAAGCUAGAGUAUGGGAGAGGAUGGUAGAAUUCCAGGUGUAGCGGUGAAAUGCGUAGAGAUCUGGAGGAAUACCGAUGGCGAAGGCAGCCAUCUGGCCUAAUACUGACGCUGAGGUACGAAAGCAUGGGGAGCAAACAGGAUUAGAUACCCCGGUAGUCCCUGUCUCUUAUAC
rnacentral:rRNA from 1 species